rnacentral:rRNA from 1 species
GACGAACGCUGGCGGCGUGCCUAACACAUGCAAGUCAACUUGACUGAAGGAGCAAUCUGACAGUAGAGUGGCGCAAGGGUGCGUAACGCGUAAGUAACUUGCCCAAGGUAAGGAAUAACGUCGAGAAAUCGGCGCUAAUACCUCAUAAUGCAGCGGAUCCGCAUGGAUAUGUUGUUAAAGGUUUACCGCCUUGGGAUAGGCUUGCGUCUGAUUAGCUAGUUGGUGUGGUAACGGCACACCAAGGCUACGAUCAGUAACUGGUCUGAGAGGAUGAUCAGUCACACUGGAACUGAGACACGGUCCAGACUCCUACGGGAGGCAGCAGUGAGGAAUAUUGGGCAAUGCUCGAAAGAGUGACCCAGCAACGCCGCGUGGAGGAUGAAGGUAUUCUAUAUCGUAAACUCCUGUGAGAGCAGACGAAAGACAGAUUAUAAUCUGGAUGACUGUAUGCUCAGAGGAAGCCCCGG